GGGGAUAUAGCUCAGUUGGUGGAGUGCUUGCCUUGCAUGCACAAGACCCUGGGUUCAAUCCCCAGCACCACUA
rnacentral:tRNA from 1 species